AAAGAAACCAACAGGGAUUGCCCUAGUAACGGCGAGUGAAGCGGCAACAGCUCAAAUUUGAAAUCUGGCCCUCGGGUCCGAGUUGUAAUUUGUAGAGGAUGCUUUUGGUGAGGUGCCUUCCGAGUUCCCUGGAACGGGACGCCAUAGAGGGUGAGAGCCCCGUCUGGUUGGAUACCGAGCCUCUGUAAAGCUCCUUCGACGAGUCGAGUAGUUUGGGAAUGCUGCUCUAAAUGGGAGGUAUAUGUCUUCUAAAGCUAAAUACCGGCCAGAGACCGAUAGCGCACAAGUAGAGUGAUCGAAAGAUGAAAAGCACUUUGAAAAGAGAGUUAAAAAGUACGUGAAAUUGUUGAAAGGGAAGCGCUUAUGACCAGACUUGGGCUUGGUUGAUCAUCCUGGGUUCUCCCUGGUGCACUCUUCCAGUUCAGGCCAGCAUCAGUUCGCUGCGGGGGAUAAAAGUUUUGGGAAUGUGGCUCCCUCGGGAGUGUUAUAGCCCAUUGCAUAAUACCCUGCUCCGGACUGAGGUUCGCGCAUCUGCAAGGAUGCUGGCGUAAUGGUCAUCAGCGACCCGUCUUGAAACACGGACCAAGGAGUCGUCUUCGUAUGCGAGUGUUCGGGUGUUAAACCCCUACGCGUAAUGAAAGUGAACGCAGGUGAGAGCUUCGGCGCAUCAUCGACCGAUCCUGAUGUUCUCGGAUGGAUUUGAGUAAGAGCAUACGGGGCCGGACCCGAAAGAAGGUGAACUAUGCCUGUAUAGGGUGAAGCCAGAGGAAACUCUGGUGGAGGCUCGCAGCGGUUCUGACGUGCAAAUCGAUCGUCAAAUAUGGGCAUGGGGCGAAAGACUAAUCGAUCCUUCUAGUAGCUGGGUUUCCGCCGAAGUUUCCCUCAGGA
rnacentral:rRNA from 1 species